GAACUCUUAUAAUUGAUCCUUAGGUAACUCAGCAUUCCAUAAUGGUCUCUUACUAAUACUGAACCGCUGACGAGCUAUCCAAAACCCGAUCUCCCUUCUAAGGCUGAACCUACUUGGUUUAUCUUCUAGCUUCCAUUUGGUCCAUACAUGUUUCACUUGGAAUAGGCGGCCAUGUCCUCGAGUCUCUCCUUAGACUUCACCACUACCUUAGGCUCCCAACAAAACUGAACGUCCUUAUCCCUCAAGUCCUUAACCACUUGCAAGAUACCAUUCCAAAUAUAUACUCCAUGAGUUGCUCUCGUUCUUCCAAAAUAUUUUAGUGGCCUUAGAAACUGAAACAUUGAUACACUACCUCACUUCCAAACCUUAUGACAUAUGUGCAACAUAACCAUCUUUUCCCCUUCACCAUAUGGAAUCACUCAUAAUACUUAUUCCAUAUCAGUGAGUGUAUCUUAUUCCACUAGAAAUUCACCCAUUCCUCAAAAUUCUGACAAUUUAUCCAAUAGAGAUUCCUCAAUUUCUCAACUCCGUUAACACUGCAGAAUCGCUUGAACGACACACUACUCUUCAAUUCCAUAAUACCCAAAU
rnacentral:lncRNA from 1 species